rnacentral:rRNA from 1 species
GACGAACGCUGGCGGCGUGCCUAAUACAUGCAAGUCGAACGAGCGGCGGACGGGUGAGUAACACGUAAGGAACCUACCGAUAAGCGGGGGACAACAUCCGGAAACGGGUGCUAAUACCGCAUACUAAUCGAUGGCCUUGCGGUGCAUUAGCUGGUUGGUGGGGUAACGGCCUACCAAGGCAAUGAUGCAUAGCCGACCUGAGAGGGUAAUCGGCCACAUUGGGACUGAGACCCGCCCCAAACUCCUACGGGAGGCAGCAGUAGGGAAUCUUCCGCCAUGGGCGCAAUCCUGACGGAGCCACGCCGCGUGAGUGAAGAAGGUUUUCGGAUCGUAAAGCUCUGUUGUAAGAGAAGCGGUAUCUUACCAGAAAGCCACGGCUAACUACGUGCCAGCAGCCGCGGUAAUAC